GUUAAGUGAGCCUUGAUUUACUCAGAAAAGGUUUGACACACAUGGACCAGGGCACCCACGCAGUCAGUCGACCCAGUGCUGUGCGUUUCCAGUGCCCCUUUAAUGCCCCUGGCAUUAAAACACAUUUUCUGACAUUUGUUUCCUACAGAAAACCAACAGUCCCUUUCAAUUCGAGGUUGCUCUACGAAGAGUGUUUGUGAUAAUCUACUAACAUCCUCGGUCACCGGAUUCACAGAUACAAAUGUCAAGUUCUUCUGUACUAUGCCCGGAGAAUCUGGU